rnacentral:SRP_RNA from 1 species
GCAGCAGCCCUGCGCACGGUGAGGGUGUGAACCCCGCCAGGUCCGGAAGGAAGCAACGGUAAGCACUCCGAGCCGGUGCCGCAGUAAGUUGUUGCCUG